AGCGAACGCUGGCGGCAGGCCUAAUACAUGCAAGUCGAGCGCACCUUCGGGUGAGCGGCGGACGGGUGAGUAACGCGUGGGAACGUGCCCUUUGGUACGGGAUAACUGAGGGAAACUUCAGCUAAUACCGUAUGUGCCCUACGGGGGAAAGAUUUAUCGCCAUUGGAGCGGCCCGCGUUGGAUUAUGUAGUUGGUGAGGUAAAGGCUCACCAAGCCUACGAUCCAUAGCUGGUAUGAGAGGAUGAUCAGCCACACUGGGACUGAGACACGGCCCAGACUCCUACGUGAGGCAGCGGUAGGGAAUCUUGCGCAAUGGGCGAAAGCCUGACGCAGCCAUGCCGCGUGUAUGAUGAAGGUCUUAGGAUUGUAAAAUACUUUCACCGGGGAAGAUAAUGACGGUACCCGGAGAAGAAGCCCCGGCUAACUUCGUGCCAGCCGCCGCCGUAACAC
rnacentral:rRNA from 1 species